rnacentral:rRNA from 1 species
AGCUCCAAUAGCGUAUAUUAAAGUUGUUGCAGUUAAAACGCUCGUAGUUGAAUUUUGGGUCGGACGUGAUCUGCGGGUCAAAGACUUUAGCGGAAUGCGCCGGCCAAUAUUUUUUCCGGAGUGGUCCUGGUUUGCUCUUUAUUGGGUGGCAGGAGAUCACUGCUCCGGACGUUUACUUUGAGAAAAUUAGAGUGUUCAAAGCAGGCGUUUUCGCUGUGAAUACAUUAGCAUGGAAUAAUGGAACAGGACUUUGGUCGUGUUUUGUUGGUUUUAAUGGCCGAAGUAAUGAUUAAUAGGGAUAGUUGGGGGCAUUCGUAUUUCGUUGUCAGAGGUGAAAUUCUUGGAUUUACGAAAGACGAACUACUGCGAAAGCAUCUGCCAAGGAUGUUUUCAUUA